CCCGCUGAAUUUAAGCAUAUAAGUAAGUGGUGGAAAUUAAACCAACUGGGAUCUCUUCAGUAAUUGCGCAUGAACCAGGAUAUGCUUAGCUUGACAAAUGGAGCUGCUGGCUCUGAAUUGUAUUGUGGGAAUGUAUUACCAACAGAGGUGCAGGUGUCAGCCAUUUGAAAGAAAGCAUCAAUGAGGGUGAGAGUCCUGUUUGUCAUGUGCAGCCUUCUGUGCACGGUGUAUAUUUGCUGAGUCACACUCCUCGGCAUUGGAAUGCAAAGUGGGUGGUAAGUUUCAUGCAAAGGUAAAUAUGCAAUUGAGACUGAUAGCGCACAAGUACCAUGAGGGACAUAUGAAAAGGACUUUGAACAGAGAAUUAAAUGAGUUUGUAUUUGCUAAACACAAAGUAAACAGACUUGAUUUCCUCAGUGAGAUUGUAGUGAUUGCUUGACAAUGGGUUUUGGCUGCAAGUGCAAUAAUUCUUGCUUUGUGUGCCAGUUUUUAUGUGGACAUUUGAUUACCUUUGCACAUGAAUGGUAAUUUUCCUGCGGGGUGUGGAUUGCAUAUGCAUGUAAUGAUUUGCAUGUUUGUUAAAUGUGUCUGGUGUAUUUGUUUGUGUCCUUGUCCUUGAGGUUGCUUUCUCCCUUGGGCUUACAUGCCCUGGCACACACAUUCUGGCAAAAUGCUUCUGCUUGACCCGUCUUGAAACACGGACCAAGGAGU
rnacentral:rRNA from 1 species